UCCUCGAUCUGCUGCGGGCAGAUCCAGUGGAUGUGGCUGUCGAUGCCGCCCGCGGUGAGGAUCAUGCCCUCGCCGGCGAUCACCUCGGUGCCGGCGCCGAUCGGGAUCGUCACCCCGGGCUGGAUGUCGGGGUUGCCGCCCUUGCCGAUCCUCCAGAUGCGGCCGUCCUUGAGACCCACGUCGGCCUUCACGAUGCCCGCCACCGCGUCGAUGACCAGCGCGUUGGUGACGAUGGUGUCCGCCACGUCGGCGGCCACGCCCUGGCCCUGGCCCAUGCCGUCGCGGA
rnacentral:sRNA from 1 species